rnacentral:tRNA from 1 species
GGCGGGUUGGCGGAACUGGCAGACGCAGGGGUCUCAAAAACCCCCGAGAGCAAUCUCGUAUCGGUUCGAUUCCGAUACCCGCCA